rnacentral:rRNA from 1 species
CUGCUAAUACCGCAUAAGCGCACAGAGCUGCAUGGCUCAGUGUGAAAAACUCCGGUGGUAUAAGAUGGACCCGCGUUGGAUUAGCUUGUUGGCAGGGUAACGGCCUACCAAGGCGACGAUCCAUAGCCGGCCUGAGAGGGUGAACGGCCACAUUGGGACUGAGACACGGCCCAGACUCCUACGGGAGGCAGCAUG